rnacentral:tRNA from 1 species
GUCCUGUUGGUGGAAUUUGGCAGACACGUAUGUUUUAGAAGCAUAAUAUUAAGGGUUCGAAUCCCUUAUGGGACA